AACGAACGCUGGCGGCAGGCUUAACACAUGCAAGUCGAACGGGUGUAGCAAUACAUCAGUGGCAGACGGGUGAGUAAAACGUGGGAACCUUCCUAGGGGUACGGAACAACUCAGGGAAACUUGAGCUAAUACCGUAUACGUCCGUGAGGAGAAAGAUUUAUCGCCCUUAGACGGGCCCGCGUCGGAUUAGGUAUUUGGUGGGGUAACGGCCUACCAAGCCUACGAUCCGUAGCUUUUCUUAGAGAAUGAUCAGCCACACUGGGACUGGGACACGGCCCAGACUCCUACGGGAGGCAUCAGUGGGGAAUCUUGGAAAAUGGGCGCAAGCCUGAUCCAGCCAUGCCGCGUGAGUGAAGAAGGCCUUAGGGUUGUAAAGCUCUUUUACCAGGGACGAUAAUGACGGUACCUGGAGAAUAAGCCCCGGCAAACUUCGUGCCAGCCGCCGCAGUAACAC
rnacentral:rRNA from 1 species